ACCAAGCUUAUAUAAACAAAAUUGAAUAAAUCUGUCCUGAACUCCUUGGUGCAAUAUCAUUCAAUAUACCAUCUAGGAAUUUUAGGCAUAAUAGAUUAUUCUCAGUACCAUUUCAUAGCACUAAUUAUGCAUCUCACUCCCCUAUUGAACAGACACUUAAGUUUAUUAAUACUAAUGAAGUUGAAAUAUUGGGCAUUGCUUUACCUAGUUUUAAGAGGCAAAUUAAAAGUUUAAUCUAAUUUUCAAUACAAUUCAGUCUAGCUGUGUGAUCUGAGCAAGGCCUUUGACUGUGUCGAUCAUGGCAUCAUUCUUCAAAAAUUUGAAUACUAUACUAUAAAUUUCAUCAUAAUAGUAUAAAACUUGUCAAUGUAUAUCUCAGGUGGUGGGGGUCGCGGGUGUGAAGUCAGUUAGGAGGGUUAUGAGCAUUGGAGUGCCACAAGGAUCAGUUCUGGGGCCCAUCCUUUUCUUAAUAUAUCGUCGGUCCAGUGCCAAAACCAUGAAUGUGCAAAAUUUUCGAAUUUUGGCAAGAAAAAACUCAUAAAUAGUAUUGUGAAUGUUAUAGUUUAGUGUUUCGUACUUUAAUAAGAAAAUUACUCUAAGCUUUUUUGUGAGUUUUUGUUUUAAAGAUUAAAAUUGUGUUUUUAAAAAUGGCAUCUAGAGCUAAAAGAAUAAUGGAAAUGGUGAGCCACAGAGAGUCUGCUGAGGAUACUUUUAACAAAGAGAAUAAGCUAACCGAGGCUCCGCCAGUAUUCAGAACUGCUCAUUCUCUUAAUAAUGUUGCAAAUAUUGAAACACUUGCCUAUAAUAAUAUUGGUGAUGAUUUUACCAUAAGCGUUACUAACUUCGAAUUGGAACAAAACAUAAAUAUAACAGAAGAUAAAGUCGACGAUGAUGCUGAACAGCUGUCUAAUGAAGUCAUGGCAUCGCCCUUAAGGACACCAGAUAAUAUCUUAUAACAUUUGAAGAUAAUGCUUCUUCAUCAGACAAUUAUGACACAGGCAACAGUUCUGAUAGUACUAGCUGCUCUUCAAGUUGUUCUACCUGUUCAAGCACUUCAACUUCAUCAAAUGAUGCUAAUCCUGAGAAUUUACAAAUAAUUCAACCCGAGCAUCCAAUAAAAAGAAACGAAUCGAUGUGGAAUAAAAAUAUUAGAAAGGAAAAAAGGCGCAAAGGUGAAGCAUACCUCGAUGCAAGAAACAUAGAGAAAAAUGCUCGUCCUCUUUUACCUUCUCCAUGUUCGCGAAAGCCAAACCAUAAAUGCAUCACAUAAUUUGUAAGAGAGGAAAACCGCCAAGAAAUUUACAACCAGUUUCGCAACUUAGAAUCUCUAGAUUAUCAAAGGACUUUUGUAAUAAAUCACGUGGAACAAAAAUUUAAGAGCAGGGUGAGUUUUUUAUGGCAACUCUUAAUAUUACGGAUUCAUUUAUACGCACGGCAUGUGAAGAACGUACAUUCCUUGUGGGAUAAUUAAGGGAGAUUUACGUGGUAAACACGCUCCCUUUAAUAAGCUGAAAGAUGAAGAUCAGAAUUUGAUUAGAGAUCACAUUAUGUGAUUUCCUUGUGUAGAGUCACACUACUGCAGUUCGUCAUCAAAAAAAAAGUUCAAUAACACAACAACAGUUCAAUAAAAGCUUUCAAGCUUAAACAGUUCAAUAAUGCAUAGAUUAUAUAAAGAUAUGUGCGUGGAAAAGAAUAUUAAACCAGUUUCCUUGGAAAAGUAUCGAGUUAAAUUCAGUGAAUAUAAUUUAGGAUUUUUUCGC
rnacentral:lncRNA from 1 species